UCUCCGUAGGUGAACCUGCGGAGGGAUCAUUACAGAGUUCAUGCCCUACCGGGUAGAUCUCCCACCCUAUGUUUUUACUACUUUGUUGCUUUGGCGGGCCGUUAGGCUCCGGCCCGACUACCGGCCCCGGCUGGUAAGCGCCAGCCAGAGGACCCAAAACCCUGAAUAUUAGUGUCGUCUGAGUACUAUAUAAUAGUUAAAACUUUCAACAACGGAUCUCUUGGUUCUG
rnacentral:misc_RNA from 1 species